rnacentral:rRNA from 1 species
UACGAGGGGGGCAAAUGUUGUUCGGAAUCACUGGGCUUAAAGAGUCCGUAGGCGGCAUGUUAGGUGAGGUGUGAAAUCCCACGGCCCAACCGUGGAAUUGCGCUUCAAACCGGCGUGCUUGAGGAAGAUAGAGGUGGGCGGAACUGAUGGUGGAGCGGUGAAAUGCGUUGAUAUCAUCAGGAACACCGGAGGCGAAGGCGGCCCACUGGGUCUUUUCUGACGCUGAGGGACGAAAGCCAGGGGAGCGAACGGG